rnacentral:rRNA from 1 species
UGUUUGUGGCCCGUCUCUCCGCGGUAAUACGUAGGUGGCGAGCGUUGUCCGGAAUUACUGGGCGUAAAGGGUGCGUAGGCGGUUCUCUAAGUGGGAUGUGAAAUCCAUGGGCUUAACCCAUGAACUGCAUUCCAAACUGGAGAGCUAGAGUGCAGGAGAGGAAAGCGGAAUUCCCAGUGUAGCGGUGAAAUGCGUAGAUAUUGGGAGGAACACCAGUGGCGAAGGCGGUUUUCUGGACUGUAACUGACGCUGAGGCACGAAAGCGUGGGGAGCAAACAGGAUUAGAUACCCUGGUAGUCCACGCUGUAAACGAUGGGUACUAGGUGUGGGAGGCGUAGCCUUCCGUGCCGCAGUUAACACAUUAAGACCCCGCCUGUACCACGUGAUUCAUCC